rnacentral:rRNA from 1 species
AUUGAACGCUGGCGACAUGCCUUACACAUGCAAGUCGAACGGCAGCACGGGAGCAAUCCUGGUGGCGAGUGGCGAACGGGUGAGUAAUAUAUCGGAACGUGCCCAGUCGUGGGGGAUAACGUAGCGAAAGCUACGCUAAUACCGCAUGCGAUCUAUGGAUGAAAGCGGGGGAUCGCAAGACCUCGCGCGAUUGGAGCGGCCGAUAUCAGAUUAGGUAGUUGGUGAGGUAAAGGCUCACCAAGCCGACGAUCUGUAGCUGGUCUGAGAGGACGACCAGCCACACGGGGACUGAGACACGGCCCAGACUCCUAGGGGAGGCAGCAGUGGGGAAUUUUGGACAAGGGGCGCAAGCCUGUUCCAGCAAUGCCGCGUGCAGGAUGAGGGCCUUCGGGUUGUAAACUGCUUUUGUACGAAACGAAACGGUGAGCUCUAAUACAGUUUGCUAAUGACGGUACCGUAAGAAUAAGCACCGGCUAACUACGUGCCAGCCGCCGCCGUAA